rnacentral:rRNA from 1 species
UACGUAGGGUGCAAGCGUUGUCCGGAUUUAUUGGGCGUAAAGAGCUCGUAGGCGGUCUGUCGCGUCGGAUGUGAAAACCCGGGGCUUAGCUCCGGGCCUGCAUUCGAUACGGGCAGACUAGAGUGUGGUAGGGGAGACUGGAACUCCUGGUGUAGCGGUGAAAUGCGCAGAUAUCAGGAAGAACACCAGUGGCGAAGGCGGGUCUCUGGGCCACUACUGACGCUGAGGAGCGAAAGCGUGGGGAGCAAACAGG